UAAGCGACUAAGCGUACACGGUGGAUGCCCUGGCAGUCAGAGGCGAUGAAGGACGUGCUAAUCUGCGAUAAGCGUCGGUGAGGUGAUAUGAACCGUUAUAACCGGCGAUUUCCGAAUGGGGAAACCCAGUGUGUUUCGACACACUAUCAUUAACUGAAUCCAUAGGUUAAUGAGGCGAACCGGGGGAACUGAAACAUCUAAGUACCCCGAGGAAAAGAAAUCAACCGAGAUUCCCCCAGUAGCGGCGAGCGAACGGGGAGGAGCCCAGAGCCUGAAUCAGUGUGUGUGUUAGUGGAAGCGUCUGGAAAGGCGCGCGAUACAGGGUGACAGCCCCGUACACAAAAAUGCACAUAUUGUGAGCUCGAUGAGUAGGGCGGGACACGUGGUAUCCUGUCUGAAUAUGGGGGGACCAUCCUCCAAGGCUAAAUACUCCUGACUGACCGAUAGUGAACCAGUACCGUGAGGGAAAGGCGAAAAGAACCCCGGCGAGGGGAGUGAAAAAGAACCUGAAACCGUGUACGUACAAGCAGUGGGAGCCUCUUAAUGGGGUGACUGCGUACCUUUUGUAUAAUGGGUCAGCGACUUAUAUUCUGUAGCAAGGUUAACCGAAUAGGGGAGCCGAAGGGAAACCGAGUCUUAACUGGGCGUUAAGUUGCAGGGUAUAGACCCGAAACCCGGUGAUCUAGCCAUGGGCAGGUUGAAGGUUGGGUAACACUAACUGGAGGACCGAACCGACUAAUGUUGAAAAAUUAGCGGAUGACUUGUGGCUGGGGGUGAAAGGCCAAUCAAACCGGGAGAUAGCUGGUUCUCCCCGAAAGCUAUUUAGGUAGCGCCUCGUGAAUUCAUCUCCGGGGGUAGAGCACUGUUUCGGCAAGGGGGUCAUCCCGACUUACCAACCCGAUGCAAACUGCGAAUACCGGAGAAUGUUAUCACGGGAGACACACGGCGGGUGCUAACGUCCGUCGUGAAGAGGGAAACAACCCAGACCGCCAGCUAAGGUCCCAAAGUCAUGGUUAAGUGGGAAACGAUGUGGGAAGGCCCAGACAGCCAGGAUGUUGGCUUAGAAGCAGCCAUCAUUUAAAGAAAGCGUAAUAGCUCACUGGUCGAGUCGGCCUGCGCGGAAGAUGUAACGGGGCUAAACCAUGCACCGAAGCUGCGGCAGCGACACUAUGUGUUGUUGGGUAGGGGAGCGUUCUGUAAGCCUGUGAAGGUGGCCUGUGAGGGUUGCUGGAGGUAUCAGAAGUGCGAAUGCUGACAUAAGUAACGAUAAAGCGGGUGAAAAGCCCGCUCGCCGGAAGACCAAGGGUUCCUGUCCAACGUUAAUCGGGGCAGGGUGAGUCGACCCCUAAGGCGAGGCCGAAAGGCGUAGUCGAUGGGAAACAGGUUAAUAUUCCUGUACUUGGUGUUACUGCGAAGGGGGGACGGAGAAGGCUAUGUUGGCCGGGCGACGGUUGUCCCGGUUUAAGCGUGUAGGCUGGUUUUCCAGGCAAAUCCGGAAAAUCAAGGCUGAGGCGUGAUGACGAGGCACUACGGUGCUGAAGCGACAAAUGCCCUGCUUCCAGGAAAAGCCUCUAAGCAUCAGGUAACAUCAAAUCGUACCCCAAACCGACACAGGUGGUCAGGUAGAGAAUACCAAGGCGCUUGAGAGAACUCGGGUGAAGGAACUAGGCAAAAUGGUGCCGUAACUUCGGGAGAAGGCACGCUGAUAUGUAGGUGAAGCGACUUGCUCGUGGAGCUGAAAUCAGUCGAAGAUACCAGCUGGCUGCAACUGUUUAUUAAAAACACAGCACUGUGCAAACACGAAAGUGGACGUAUACGGUGUGACGCCUGCCCGGUGCCGGAAGGUUAAUUGAUGGGGUUAGCGGUAACGCGAAGCUCUUGAUCGAAGCCCCGGUAAACGGCGGCCGUAACUAUAACGGUCCUAAGGUAGCGAAAUUCCUUGUCGGGUAAGUUCCGACCUGCACGAAUGGCGUAAUGAUGGCCAGGCUGUCUCCACCCGAGACUCAGUGAAAUUGAACUCGCUGUGAAGAUGCAGUGUACCCGCGGCAAGACGGAAAGACCCCGUGAACCUUUACUAUAGCUUGACACUGAACAUUGAGCCUUGAUGUGUAGGAUAGGUGGGAGGCUUUGAAGUGUGGACGCCAGUCUGCAUGGAGCCGACCUUGAAAUACCACCCUUUAAUGUUUGAUGUUCUAACGUGGGCCCCUUACCGGGGGUGCGGACAGUGUCUGGUGGGUAGUUUGACUGGGGCGGUCUCCUCCUAAAGAGUAACGGAGGAGCACGAAGGUUGGCUAAUCCUGGUCGGACAUCAGGAGGUUAGUGCAAUGGCAUAAGCCAGCUUGACUGCGAGCGUGACGGCGCGAGCAGGUGCGAAAGCAGGUCAUAGUGAUCCGGUGGUUCUGAAUGGAAGGGCCAUCGCUCAACGGAUAAAAGGUACUCCGGGGAUAACAGGCUGAUACCGCCCAAGAGUUCAUAUCGACGGCGGUGUUUGGCACCUCGAUGUCGGCUCAUCACAUCCUGGGGCUGAAGUAGGUCCCAAGGGUAUGGCUGUUCGCCAUUUAAAGUGGUACGCGAGCUGGGUUUAGAACGUCGUGAGACAGUUCGGUCCCUAUCUGCCGUGGGCGCUGGAGAACUGAGGGGGGCUGCUCCUAGUACGAGAGGACCGGAGUGGACGCAUCACUGGUGUUCGGGUUGUCAUGCCAAUGGCACUGCCCGGUAGCUAAAUGCGGAAGAGAUAAGUGCUGAAAGCAUCUAAGCACGAAACUUGCCCCGAGAUGAGUUCUCCCUGACUCCUUGAGAGUCCUGAAGGAACGUUGAAGACGACGACGUUGAUAGGCCGGGUGUGUAAGCGCAGCGAUGCGUUGAGCUAACCGGUACUAAUGAACCGUGAGGCUUAACCU
rnacentral:rRNA from 1 species